GAUGAACGCUGGCGGCGUGCCUAAUACAUGCAAGUCGAGCGAACAGAUGAGGAGCUUGCUCCUCUGACGUUAGCGGCGGACGGGUGAGUAACACGUGGAUAACCUACCUAUAAGACUGGGAUAACUUCGGGAAACCGGAGCUAAUACCGGAUAAUAUAUUGAACCGCAUGGUUCAAUAGUGAAAGACGGUUUUGCUGUCACUUAUAGAUGGAUCCGCGCCGCAUUAGCUAGUUGGUAAGGUAACGGCUUACCAAGGCAACGAUGCGUAGCCGACCUGAGAGGGUGAUCGGCCACACUGGAACUGAGACACGGUCCAGACUCCUACGGGAGGCAGCAGUAGGGAAUCGUCCGCAAAGGGCGAAAGCCUGACGGAGCAACGCCGCGUGAGUGAUGAAGGUCUUCGGAUCGUAAAACUCUGUUAUUAGGGAAGAACAAAUGUGUAAGUAACUAUGUACGUCUUGACGGUACCUAAUCAGAAAGCCACGGCUAACUACGUG
rnacentral:rRNA from 1 species